rnacentral:rRNA from 1 species
GAUGAACGCUGGCGGCGUGCCUAAUACAUGCAAGUCGAGCGAAUGGAUUAAGAGCUUGCUCUUAUGAAGUUAGCGGCGGACGGGUGAGUAACACGUGGGUAACCUGCCCAUAAGACUAGGAUAACUCCGGGAAACCGGGGCUAAUACCGGAUAACAUUUUGAACCGCAUGGUUCGAAAUUGACAGGCGGCUUCGGCUGUCACUUAUGGAUGGACCCGUGUCGCAUUAGCUAGUUGGUGAGGUAACGGCUCACCAAGGCAACGAUGCGUAGCCGACCUGGGAGGGUGAUCGGCCACACUGGGACUGAGACACGGCCCAGACUCCUACGGGAGGCAGCAGUAGGGAAUCUUCCGCAAUGGACGAAAGUCUGACGGAGCAACGCCGCGUGAGUGAUGAAGGCUUUCGGGUCGUAAAACUCUGUUGUUAGGGAAGAACAAGUGCUAGUUGAAUAAGCUGGCACCUUGACGGUACCUAACCAGAAAGCCACGGCUAACUACGUGCCAGCAGCCGCGGUAA